AUUGAACGCUGGCGGCAGGCCUAACACAUGCAAGUCGAGCGGAGCGGCGGACGGGUGAGUAAUGCCUAGGAAUCUGCCUGGUAGUGGGGGAUAACGUCCGGAAACGGGAGCUAAUACCGCAUACUAUCAGAUGAGCCUAGGUCGGAUUAGCUAGUUGGUGGGGUAAAGGCCUACGAAGGCGACGAUCCGUAACUGGUCUGAGAGGAUGAUCAGUCACCCUGUGACUGAGACCAGGACCAGACUCCGACGGGAGGCAGCAGGGGGGAAUGUUGGACAAGGGGCGAAAGGCGGAUACAGCCAUGGCGCGUGUGUGAAGAGGGUCUUCGGAUUGUAAAGCACUAUAAGUUGGGCGGCGUUACCAACAGAAUAAGCACCGGCUAACUUCGUGCCAGCAGCCGCGGUAAUAC
rnacentral:rRNA from 1 species